GGCGGCAGGCUUAACACAUGCAAGUCGAGCGCCUCGCAAGAGGAGCGGCAGACGGGUGAGUAACGCGUGGGAAUCUACCUAUCUCUACGGAACAACUCCGGGAAACUGGAGCUAAUACCGUAUACGCCCUCAGGGGGAAAGAUUUAUCGGAGAUGGAUGAGCCCGCGUUGGAUUAGGUAGUUGGUGGGGUAAUGGCCUACCAAGCCGACGAUCCAUAGCUGGUCUGAGAGGAUGAUCAGCCACAUUGGGACUGAGACACGGCCCAAACUCCUACGGGAGGCAGCAGUGGGGAAUAUUGGACAAUGGGCGCAAGCCUGAUCCAGCCAUGCCGCGUGAGUGAUGAAGGCCCUAGGGUUGUAAAGCUCUUUCAACGGUGAAGAUAAUGACGGUAACCGUAGAAGAAGCCCCGGCUAACUUCGUGCCAGCAGCCGCGGUAAUACAAAGGGGGCUAGCGUUGUUCGGAAUUACUGGGCGUAAAGCGCACGUA
rnacentral:rRNA from 1 species